AACAAAGGAUGAGGCUUGUGAAUUAGCCAGAACAAACAUAUGACAAAGAUUCCGCUCGAUAUUUUCGUGGAUAGGAUCGCACGGGCUCGAUCGUACAUUGGAUUGUCAUAUUGAAAUGACGCUCGAGUAUGCUCCCUAGGCGUAGCGAACUACAAGGCUUGUUGAAGCAUACCGAUGACAUAUAUCGAGACUGUCCUCUGUAAAAACGACCGUGAACAUAUGAAUCCACUAGAUGUCGAACCCCAACCUCACAACAUGCAUCUGUUGGAAGAUUGUCCUAUAAGUAACUACUUGAAUUCCCACAUCAGAACUUUUGAAAUUUUCUGGUCAUGCAAUCGGGUCCACGGAUACAAGGUGUAAAAUCCAUCACCCAACUCCUAGCAAUAACACUAACCCGUCGAGUGUAUCACAUACGUCAACACAUAACCAGAGAUCUCGGAAACUCAUCUAU
rnacentral:lncRNA from 1 species